GUUGCAGCAGGAGCAAUUCAAGCCAGCAGAGCAAGUGACGCUUGAGCCAUUUGAGCGUGAUCAUGCCUGUGUCGUCGGUACCUACCGUGCACCUAAGAAGACCAAGGUUGCCGCUUAGAAAUUCCUUCCUUGUGUUGGGAUUUGGUUCUUCAGAUUUUUAUUUAGUUUUUUUUUAAUACAGUAUUGCGUAUGUAAUCGUUUUGAACCUGAAUAGGCUUUUUUGUGUUUUUAUUUGAGACUGAAAACUCACCUAAACCAUGUUUUGCUUAUUGAUAAGUUUAUUUCGUUAAGACUUAUUUUAAUAAUUUCCCAAUAAUUAGUGAAACUCAAAAAGCCUAAUACAUGAUAACAUACCAUGUGCACAAAGAAUAAGAUUAAAAAGACAAGUAGCAACGUACAACACGUGUAUCUCUACUUGUAAUCAUAAGCGAGUUACUGUCUGCAAACAUCAGGUUGUGACCCAAAUUUGCAACAAUGCUUAUCCAACUGAAUUCCUCUAUACUUGUUGGAAACCAUGUCGUGAAUGUAACCACAAGAGCAUCUGGUUUGAACUCAUAAUUUAUUCAACUUUUUGUUGACCAAAGUUUCAAAUGCUAAACAUUGCAUCCAUCCUCGUAGUCGUGUUGAUGAAUGUCAAAUUGUCAAUGGUCAGAUAAAAAGGAAUUGGUCAAAACAAAUUAACGUAAAUCAAGCUGUCUAAUUGUUAUAAAAUGAGGAGUCAUUGAAGAAGAAAGUAAUUGAAGAACGGACACGCUUACAUAGUUACAUACUUCCAUUCCAUAAUAACACUCAAAUGCAAAAUUAAUAUUUAACAAAAAUGUCAGAAGUGGGAUUUGAACCCACGCCCUCUUUCGAAGACCAGAACUUGAGUCUGGCGCCUUAGACCACUCGGCCAUCCUGACUUGUUGUCUUAUAUUAUUCAAUAUAUGCAUAUGACGUUCUUCUUCAAUUACUCUCCACACCACAAUUACUAAUAACAUGGAAAUUAUAAAAGAUUUCUUUGAACAUUUAUUUGGAAAGUACAUGGUCGCUUGAUUCGUGUGAAAAUUAAAUAAGUAGUCUUGAUAAAUUUUGAAGUCGCGAGCAAAAUGUGCAUGUGACAUUUUGGUAACGUUACAAUUGCACUUUUUAUUCUUCUUUUGGAAGAAAAUAACAAAAGCACAGUUGUUACUUACAGGGGCGGACGGAGUGCAUCGGGUACAGGGGCACGUGCCCCCAACUAAUUUUAAAAUUUUCUUUAACAAAUGAUGUAAGUACAUAUAAGUGCCCCCAACUGAAAGAAAAAAUACAAUAAAAACUUUGUUGUGCCCCCUAUUAAAUCUACUUCUGCAUCCGCCCCUGGUUACUUAGGCUGAUUAAGAAAAUAACAAAAAUACAAACACCAAUGGAAGAAAAACAAACAAACAAAAAGCCUAAACAAAAGAGAAACCCAAUAAUCACGCAAGUACUUCCUUUGAUUUUGUUUCAGUACUCCCUCCCCAUUUCUUCAUACGUUCACUCGUCUCCGCCACCUGUUCAUCACAGUUUUUCAUUACAUAUUUUAUGGUGCAUUUCCUCGAUCUCAAUGUUAUAUAGGCUAUGGUUUUGUGUCUUAGUGUAGGUUCUUACCUCUUUAUUCCAGUUUGUCUUGUACAGAACAAACAUCAGUAACAACGUUUGAAGCGCUAUUCCUGAUAUCAUUCCAGCCCAAAGUCCCUGAAAACAUUGUUAACACUUUGUAAGCUACUUUAAAUAUUUCACUACUUUCAGAAGAUUUAAGCUGUUACUAUUUUAUGCACUCACCAUCACUCCCAAGUUUGCUUUGUAACCAAGAAAAUACCCAAAGGGAAGGCCAAAAAUGUAGUAACUACCCAAGUUGAUAUAAGCCACUAAGCCUUGCCAACCACCUCCAAUAGCCACACCUAAACAAGAUAUGAAUAAAACCAGAUGACCGGUUAUGAUGUGGUGAAACCUUUGGUUUGGUUUUGAUGGAAGAGAAGAUAUUUUGUUUACCGGAAAUAACAGGCUGCACGCUGUUGAGAACCAUGGUUAUACCAAGAAGAUAAGCUAGCUUAGAUACUGCACGUUGAAGUACUUCGCUGCUUGUGAAAAUGAUAGCAAAAUGGUCUCUGGCUAAGAUGAUAGCCACCAUAAAGACAAGACCGAUGAGGAGAGACUGGAACACCGUGACAUAGACAGAGUAUUUCGCUGCUCGUGGACGGCCUAAGCCAAGCUCGUUGGAGACACGGACACUAACAAAGUACAAACGUAUGGAAGGUUAGUAGUACUCAGCUGAACAGAACAGGAUUUCAAAAUUUUGGGAUAUAAACAUUUCUUAAAGAACUAUUAUAAAAAAAAAACAAUUGUACCUUAUAGCUGCGUUUAUUCCGAUGAACAACAUUGCCUCCACACCAUUGAGAUUCAUGCUGAAACGUACCCACAAAAAAAAGCCAAAAGCGUGAGAAAUGUUGAACAUUAAGCAUUACAAGACGUGAAACUCACCAUAUAGAAAGUGAACCAACAGCGAUAACAGGGUCAUCAAGAUGACCAGUAAGGACGAUGAUACUCAUCAUAUACCAGAUUUCAAGACAAAGCAUAACAGCAGAUGCAAUGGAGAGUCUAACAAAGGCCCAGAUCUCCUUAAAAGCCAACCAAGAUAAACCAGUCCAUCCUUCGUUGCACCAACCAAUCACAUAAACGAUCUGAGCGAUUGUAAUUUCCCACUGGGUGAUAUUAAACGCCAAAGCAGCACCGUUUGUUCCCCAGCCAAACACGAUGAUAAACAGCCACAGCAUACCAACGUGUAGGAGAAGAGCAAUGAACCCAAUCCAAGCAAUGACCGUUACUUUGCUCUGCGCUUGAAGGAACUUGGAGGUUGGGAAGUUCAAAGCCAUCGAGAAGAGCUGAGGGAUGGUGAGGAGAGUGAAUUGUCCAGCUGGAACGGCUAUCUCCUCUGCUUGGCCGAGAAGUCUCAGAACUGGAGUGGCAAAGAUGUAAAUAGGAAGGAGGAGGAGGCAGGAAACGAACAAGAUGAUCCAGGAUCUCUGCAUGUAAAUUCCUAACAUGUGGACUUGACCUGCUCCAAAUGCUUGACCACAGAGUGUUUCGAGUGCACUUCCCAUGCCAAGCUGCAUAUUUUCAUACCCGACAAUUAGUUAAACUUAAAACAGUUCUGUUCAUCAACUCAACACAAUCUUGGAACAACAUAGCGACGCAUGCAAUUCAGACAUAGAUUCGGUUUCACAGGAUCUUUCUCGACUCUAUAUCGUGAAUAAUGUUCUAGAAUGCUGUCUAGGCACUUUAGUUGAUCCAUGCAACUACAGUGAAACCUCUAUAAAUUAAUAAUGUUGAGAUUACACCAAAACUAUUAUUUUUUUUUAAUUUUGUAGAGAUAUUAAUUUAUUCAUAUACUAAUUGAACCAAAAACUCAAUUUGGAACUAUAAAAUUAUAUUAUUUUAUAGAUAUUUUUAGUGUAUAUUAAUUUAUAGAGUAUUAAUUUAAAGAGAUUAUACUGUGGUUUGUUUUAAUAUUUGGAGAGAAUCAAUAAUUAUUUUAAAUAUUUUUGGUGUUUUGAGUACUUUAACUAUUUUAGAUAUUUACUUUUAACUAUUUGUAUAUUUUUUCAAGUACUUAAACCAACUUAAAAGUAUCAUAUAUAUUCUGAAUGUUUUUAUAUACAUUGAAUUUAAAAAUAAUUAAUAUAUAUAGUAUAUAAAUCUAUUUCGGAUACAUUCGGAUACCCAAAAUACUUCGAUUUAGAUUGGAUUAGAUUUCAGUUCUCUAAAUACUAAAAUUUUGAAUAAUUCGGAUAUUUAAUCCAUUUUAGUUUGGAUUUAGUACUACUUUUCGGAUUAGGAUCGGUUUAGCUCUUCAAAUUCGGGUUUUUACCCAAUCUUAAAUAGUGACAUGAAAAAAUAUCAACAUAUUUUUACAACACAAACCUAGUUCAGAUCGUUUUAAAUUCGGGUUCGUAGGUGGGCUGCGCCCUUCUUCAUCAAUAGUAAAAACUGUGACGGAAAAAAAAAAAAACAAAUCAUCGUUUGUAAGAGUAAUUACAGGGGAAUACCACUGAGGGGUUACUCUAAUUAUGGUGGACGUCAAGAAACUCGUGAGUUUGCUUUGAGUCUUUUAAGAUAAAUGCGCCGCUCUCUGAGUCUUCUGUCAGUUUGCGAGAUUCUCGUGACUUACACAAAUUACAUAAAAAGUUUAGUUUUCUCGAAGUAUUUAUCACCGCUCAUAUGUAAAGAUAGUUAUUGUUAUGUUCUUCUAUGGAAUGGAUUAAUUCAAGAAUGGGAUAUUUUUGCUAUAAAUAGGCAGUUGUAUUUUGUUUGCUUUGUGUAGUAUAAUAGUAGCACUUUGAUUUCUCUUUUCUUUUGUUGCUAAAAUGCACUUUUAUCUUUUAAAGUUUUUCAUCCAGGAUAUGUAACACUUUUUGUUGUGUUUGAUCGUUUUAAGCCUUGAUAGUAGUGUAGAUACUUAUGAUAAACAUAAUCUCUUGGUAUAUGAUAUGAUCUGAUCUGAUAAAUUUUUGGACACACGUGUGUCCACACUUCAAGUGUACGUCUAAUAAGUGCAUUUGGAUAUUCAAUUCAUGUUUUCAUAAAAGUUUAUCCAAGUAAAUAUAAACUACACCCUAAAAUAAUGUAUAUCACUUGUGUAAGGUUUAUACACAAUGUACUCAAAUUUGAAUUUUCAAUUAUAUGAUCUAAAAAAUCUUUGGUGUAACAUAUUAUAUAAGCAUAUUAACAUGCUAAUUCACAUUUGUAAAAAAUAAUUGUUGAGGAUUUUGUUAUUGCUAAGAUUAGACUUCUAUCAACGGUGUGUGUGUGCUAGUGGUUAAGCGUAGGGGCUAGUUCUGUUCCGUUCAAUUUAAAGUUAAAGACCGACUCUGGACCGAAAGAAAGAUUAAGAUUAACCGUCCAACUAUUCAUGGAAUAGCAACAACAAAAAAAAUUGGACUUGUAAAUCCGAACGAUUUCAAGACUACAAAACCACGAGAUUAAAUAGUUACUAUACUCUUGAAUAAUAUAACAACUAUGCUAUAUAUAUAUAUAUAACUUGAUUUGUUCAACAUCAAGAAGCUGUGUUUCCAAAAUAAAGAGAAGAGUGUGCCUUCAAGAUAGAGCAUAUGUUACAACACUAUUUUACUUUGUUUGUAUUGGAUUACAUAAGAGAAAGUUUCCAGAAAUUCUACUUAUUAGGCAUGUGUUUUGUUGAGUUUUUGUUGACCCUUUAGAUGCUUCAAAAACUCAAGAUCAAUAUAUAUAUAAGUUGGAUCACUGUCAGUAUGAUAUAUAUGAGGCUCUUAUGGCGACAUCUAAACUAAUUUGAUGGUCGAAUCGGAUCUUGCAUGGCAUAUUUGUGUUAUCCUAUGAUUUUUGUCACCAUCAAUUGUGCGUUUGGUCUAUAAAUCGAACAACUUCAAAAAACAUGUAUAAGAAAUAGCUAUAUUAGAGAUGACCGUUCGUCCACACAAGAAAGACAUUUUGCCUAGAUUCUUUGUAAAGGAGUCGAUAUGUAACUUUCGAGACUUUCGAAUAUUUGAUUAGUAAUAUUUAAAUGGAUCACAAUAUUAAUCUAAAACACUCGAGAAAUGACCAAUAGAUAUAGAGAGUAUCGACCUCAAAGGGAAUUAUCAAUCAGUGUGUGUGGAUGGUCCUAUAAGAGAUUCUUCAGGACCAAAACGAUCGGUUUGUGACUUGUGAACGGCAUUGAGCAAAAAUGGUUAACAAUGAUAUUACUUUCUAAUAAGUAGUUGACCCUUACUAUUUGUUAAUUACUUUUCUGAUCUUUUUAAUAUUACUUAGAUCUAGAAUUAGAUGGAGAUGUUAGUGGUAGCCGCCAUAUUUUUGCUAAUGGAAGAUCUUCGAAGAUGUAUGAAUUAUGAUUUCAUAUGCUCUGUGAAUGAUUAAACUAAACCAAUGUGACAAAAACAGAUUAGUGAGGGUAGUUUAGUCAAAUUCAAAAAGCAAUAUAUGAUGGCUUAUGGUUAUGGGGCUAAGAAGAGAGCGCACGUGUGCAGUAUAAUGACUUUUACGUGCGUGCGUACGAAUGUGACACUUUACCUUUCUCUCUUGAUAAGAAAGAUGUUCACUUUUGUGAGUAUACUCCUUUUUAACAAACACUAUGGCAACAAAGAUGAUAGAAAGUGGCAAUGAAUCUUUUGUAUAGGUAAACAAAAUUCAUCAAAGUUACAUUUUCACACUGCUCUCUAGUCUUGUAAUUACUAAUAUGUGACAAACAAAAGUAGUCAUAGCAUUAAAACAUGUGACAACUAAAUAUAGGUGGAUUUUCUUUACUUUUCUAACUAUGAACAUCUACUCUUUUACCUUGACUUUGGUAAUUACUUUUAAGAUUUGCCUUUUGCAGUUGUGUAGAUUAAUAAGGGACACACACAAACCUUAAUCAACCUUCAGUUUAGAAUAGUUAGUUUACUUUUGCAAUUAACUGUCUGUCCUACAACCUUUCACGGAUUUAUGCUUCAACUCUACCUCCUUAUUUAAUCUCCACUUUUUAAUAGCUAUAGAUUUAAAUCAUACAAUAAUUUGACUUAUAGUUAUACUUGUGACUUGUAGAUACAAUAAUCACAACCAGUUGUCUUUUAAAAAAAAAACUUGUUUACAUCCUUAAAAUUGCAGCAAUAUCCGUUAUUUCAGAAACAUAGUAAAUUUAGUUUUUUAGUGAUCGUUUAUUUACACUUUUUUAUCAUCCACAAGGACCACAACUUACAUAGUUACAUACAAAUACUACAUUCCAAAUUUAAUUUAGGUACAUAAGAGGAGAAUAGUAAAUUACAAACGUAUAAUGACUAUUAUCAUAUUUAACCAAAAAAAUAAUGAUUACCAUAGUUCGGCCAUACGUCUAACGGGAUCACGAAUAAUAUGAAUCUCUUAUGUAGACCUAAAUUUAAUUUGGAGCCAAUUAUUGAUAGUGAUGUGGUAUGUUUAGUUACAGCAUAUAUGCAUAUUAUAAAUGAAAUCAUAUAAAAUAUCAUGUCCAGGUUAUAUCAACAAGUCAACUACUAAAGACUUCACUUUUAUCCGCACCUUCUGUGAAGGAAAGUUGUAAUAUAUUUCUGAACUACGAAAGUCUCGCUACGGCCUACGUGUGAAUACAAAAUGGGUAUGUACAUACAUGGAUACAUAUAAAAGAAGCAUAAACUAAAUGUAGCAUAUUAUUGACAAAAUUUUACAUCAAAAGAUGACCGGUCAUCCACUAGCAGUCACAUGGUGAUCGAGUAGACAUUGAACAUGAUAAAAAGUGCCAAAAUAAGUGGAAUAAUCAAAGGGGAAUCUUCCUUCAUUCAUAUAAUAAAAUAAACAUUUCGAGGCUAUGACCUAGCUAUAGCUACUCCACCAUUACAUAUAAUAUGCUAUUACAUUUACUAUAGUUUUAAAGCGUGACCAUUAAUUUGAUAAAUAGAAAGAAAAAAGAAGAUUAUAGUUUAGAAGUUGAGAAUGAUUGGUAGGGAGAGAGGAUGGGACCUAUUCUCCCCCAACAUCCCACAUGCACACUUCCUCUCUUUCAUUUAUUUCUUUCGUUCUAAUUUUAUCCAUUUCCGUGUUUCACAAUCUCACUUAUUCAUUGAUUGUGAUAUAUAUAAUAUAUGGUAGCUUGUUGUCCAAAAGAGAAUACACGGCAGCUUAAAACUACUAGUGUUUUAAUAUUGUUGAUGGUUCAUGAAAAUUUUCCUAUCAUUGAUUGCGAACAUGCUGAGUCACUGAUCACUUGAGCUGACAUGAUGUUUAUCUUCUAGUGCGUUAGAUUUAAGUAAGUUGGGUUUGAUCUUUUAACAAAAAGACACUGUCAAGAGAAAUAAAAGUAGUUGAAAUUAUGUUUAGGUUAGACUAAAGAUAAUUUAGGCUUCACACAUAAUGUGUCAUAUGCAGGGGCGACGCUACUUGAAUAGCUAUGGGUCUGAGUAGAAAAAAACUUCUUAUUAAUAGAGGAUAGUAAAAUUUCGAAAACCAACGAGCAAUUUUGUAUUGUUUUAUAUAAUAGACCAAACCCAUUACAAAAGAUACCCUUUUCGAUCGUGGCUUUCGUCCAGCUUUCAUAUUAAAGCCCAAAUAUUUAAAAACCCAAUCUCCUUGAAAAAAGAAAGGUUGUUCGGACAAAAAAGCCCAAAGUGAAAAGGGUAUUUACGUAAAAUAACAAUAAAAGGGCAGCUUCUAAACCCUCUAAAACCCUAGAAUAACACUUGUAUAAAAUAAAGUCACAAGCGCAGCUUCAUCCCCAACGACAUAACCUCUCUCCGAAAGCUUCUCUCGUUAUACGCAGUCUCUAAACCCUAAUUCGAAGAUGAGACCUCCUCUAACUGGUGGUAAGAACCCUAGCCGCCGCUCUUUUCUUCGUCUCCAUCGUUUAGGCUUUUAGUUUAAGAACGGCUAGCUCUGUUUUCGUUUUAAGUUGAAUCUCUUUGUAUAUAGCUGAACUGUUUAUAAAGGUUGUUCCUUUUAGUUUAGAUGCUUAAUGGGUAUUCGCUAUUUUCAUUGGAUCUAUUGUUUUAAGGAAGAUAUUGAGCCGUUGUUUUGUGUGUUCAGGACGUGGUGGUGGUGGCUUCAGUGGCGGACGUGGUGGCGGUGGGUUCAGUGGUGGACGUUCUGGAGGAAGAGGAAGAGGAUUCGGAGACCGUGGCGGUGGUCGCAGCGGCAGAGGCAUGAGAGGUAGAGGAGAGCGUGGUCGCAACGGUAGAGGAGCACCAGGACGUGGUGGAAUGAAGGGAGGUAGCAAGGUGAUUGUGGAGCCACACAGACACCCAGGAGUGUUCAUUGCCAAGGGUAAAGAGGAUGCUCUUGUCACUAAGAACUUGGUUCCUGGUGAGGCUGUUUACAACGAGAAGAGAAUCUCUGUUCAGGUAUAUAAUUGAUGGUUUAUUGAUUUAUUUCGAGUUUUGUUUGUUUCAGUGUUGUUAAUUGGUUUGUGAUUGUAAUUAAAUAGAAUGAGGAUGGAACCAAGACUGAAUACAGGGUGUGGAAUCCUUUCCGUUCAAAGUUGGCUGCUGCUAUUCUCGGUGGUGUUGAUAACAUUUACAUCGUAAGUCACAUCUUGUUUUGGAACUUAUUUGUUUCUGCCUGUUGUGUGACUUGUCCAUACAUUUAUUGUUUGUAUUUGUUUCAAUGUAGAAACCUGGUGCUAAAGUUCUAUACCUUGGUGCUGCUUCUGGGACAACAGUCUCUCACGUGUCUGACAUUGUUGGACCUGUAAGCACAACUUAUCCUUUAUGUUUGUAGUUAUUUACAUGUUUUUUUAUGUUGUUGCUCAUAAACUUGGGUUUGUGGUUUUGUAGGAGGGAUGUGUUUACGCUGUUGAGUUCUCUCACCGAAGUGGUAGAGAUUUGGUGAACAUGGCGAAGAAGAGAACUAAUAUUAUUCCAAUCAUUGAGGAUGCUAGACAUCCUGCUAAAUACAGAAUGCUUGUCGGCAUGGUUGAUGUUGUCUUCGCUGAUGUUGCUCAGCCUGAUCAGGUUUGCUUCCUUUAUUAUAUCUUAUCAGUGUGCACGUCUUUUAAAUUGCUAUAAAAACUUUUACCGCUUUGAAAUUAAAAUGAUGUUCUGAUGAUGGCAAAUGAUGAUGUUACUUGGAUUCCCCUUCAGAACAUUUUGUAAUGUUGCAAACUCCAAGUUUCUGAUGCUUAAGAACAUCUUCCUUCCUUCAAUAUAGUUUUUUUAUUGGUUUCUUUUCGGAUUAUAGUUUCAUCUUUUGUCAACCACAGUAAAAUCUUUUAUUACUGUUUCUUUUUCCUGCGUAUAACAGAUCGAUCGGUUUGGGUUUUCCAUAUGAUAAAAUUUGAUUUGGUCAUUUAAAGAUUUCGUAAUAUAACUUUUAUUGCAGUUUUUUUUUGCUGAUGACCGAAUAAUCUGUUUUGGUUUUCCAUCUGGUUGAGAAUUUAAUUUGGUCAUUAAAAAUUUAGUUUGAAAAUUUAAUUGGCACAAUAAGUUUAUAAUGCCAUUGACCAUUCGUUGUCCCCAAGUUUGCUAAUGCCAUCCAUGUUUCAGGUAUAAUAUAAUGAUCUAUAUGUUUUAAAUUGUUCUUUAUGAAAUGUUGUUCGUCUUUAAAAACCCUUAGGCUAGGAUCGUGGCUUUGAACUCAAGCUUCUUCCUCAAAACAGGAGGUCACUUUAAUAUCUCGAUCAAGGUUAGUAGCAGCACUUCAGUAUUCAUUCUUGAUAUGUUAAUUAAUGUUCAUUCUUCUAUUGUUACUCAAAGAAUUUUUCUCUCUUGUUUGCAACAGGCAAACUGUAUUGACUCAACGGUUCCGGCAGAAGCAGUGUUUCAGAGUGAAGUGAAGAAGUUGCAGCAGGAGCAAUUCAAGCCAGCAGAGCAAGUGACGCUUGAGCCAUUUGAGCGUGAUCAUGCCUGUGUCGUCGGUACCUACCGUGCACCUAAGAAGACCAAGGUUGCCGCUUAGAAAUUCCUUCCUUGUGUUGGGAUUUGGUUCUUCAGAUUUUUAUUUAGUUUUUUUUUAAUACAGUAUUGCGU
rnacentral:lncRNA from 1 species